AUUGAACGCUGGCGGCAUGCCUUACACAUGCAAGUCGAACGGCAGCGGGGGAGAAGCUUGCUUUUCCUGCCGGCGAGUGGCGAACGGGUGAGUAAUACAUCGGAACGUGCCCUGUAGUGGGGGAUAACUAGUCGAAAGAUUAGUUAAUACCGCAUACGACUUGAGGGUGAAAGUGGGGGACCGCAAGGCCUCAUGCUAUAGGAGCGGCCGAUGUCUGAUUAGCUAGUUGGGGGGGUAAAGGCCUACCAAGGCGACGAUCAGUAGCUGGUCUGGGAGGACGAUCAGCCACACUGGGACUGAGACGCGGCCCAGACUCCUACGGGAGGCAGCAGUGGGGAAUUUUGGACAAUGGGCGAAAGCCUGAUCCAGCAAUGCCGCGUGUGUGAAGAAGGCCUUCGGGUUGUAAAGCACUUUUGUCCGGAAAGAAAUGGCUCUGGUUAAUACCUGGGGUCGAUGACGGUACCGGAAGAAUAAGGACCGGCUAACUACGUGCCAGCCGCCGCGGUAA
rnacentral:rRNA from 1 species